rnacentral:lncRNA from 1 species
AUUAUCUUUCCAUUUCUAGGUAUGAACAACAGCGAGAGCAACUUGAUAAUCAAUCAUUCAAUUUGGAACAGCAGAACUUUGCCAUCCAGUCACUAAAAGAUACGAAAACUACAGUAGAUGCAAUGAAGAGUGGAGUAAAGGAAUUCAAGAAAGCUUACAAGCAUGUCAAAAUUGAUGACAUU